rnacentral:rRNA from 1 species
AACGCUAGCUACAGGCUUAACACAUGCAAGUCGAGGGGAAACGACAUCGAAAGCUUGCUUUUGAUGGGCGUCGACCGGCGCACGGGUGAGUAACGCGUAUCCAACCUGCCCACCACUUGGGGAUAACCUUGCGAAAGUAAGACUAAUACCCAAUGAUAUCUCUAGAAGACAUCUGAAAGAGAUUAAAGAUUUAUCGGUGAUGGAUGGGGAUGCGUCUGAUUAGCUUGUUGGCGGGGUAACGGCCCACCAAGGCGACGAUCAGUAGGGGUUCUGAGAGGAAGGUCCCCCACAUUGGAACUGAGACACGGUCCAAACUCCUACGGGAGGCAGCAGUGAGGAAUAUUGGUCAAUGGACGAGAGUCUGAACCAGCCAAGUAGCGUGCAGGAUGACGGCCCUAUGGGUUGUAAACUGCUUUUAUAAGGGAAUAAAGUGAGAGUCGUGACUCUUUUUGCAUGUACCUUAUGAAUAAGGACCGGCUAAUUCCGUGCCAGCAGCCGCGGUAAUACGGAAGGUCCGGGCGUUAUCCGGAUUUAUUGGGUUUAAAGGGAGCGUAGGCCGGAGAUUAAGCGUGUUGUGAAAUGUAGACGCUCAACGUCUGCACUGCAGCGCGAACUGGUUUCCUUGAGUACGCACAAAGUGGGCGGAAUUCGUGGUGUAGCGGUGAAAUGCUUAGAUAUCACGAAGAACUCCGAUUG